GGGACGUCGCUUUGCUGAGGGCGGGCGCACGAGGGGAACACCUACCUGUCUUCGUAUCUCUGGGCCGUUCUCAUCGAAAAGGAAAAGGAAGGAGCGGGAGAGAGAGAGAGAGAGAGGAAAACGAUAGAGGGUUUUGGAUUUGGAGGGGAAGAGAUGGAGGGGAGGAAGGAUGUGGGAAUUCUCGCCAUGGAUAUCUACUUCCCUCCCACUUUCGUUCAACAGGAAGCCCUUGAGGCUUAUGAUGGGGCGAGUAAGGGAAAGUACACCAUUGGACUUGGGCAAGAUUGCAUGGCCUUUUGCACAGAACUGGAAGAUGUGAUAUCCAUGAGCUUGACAGUUGUUACAUCCCUCCUGGAGAAGUAUCAGAUUGAUCCAAAACAAAUUGGUCGCCUAGAAGUUGGUAGUGAGUCAGUGAUAGACAAGAGUAAGUCUGUCAAGACCUGGCUGAUGCAAAUAUUUGAGGAAUUUGGUAACACUGAUGUUGAAGGAGUUGACUCGACAAAUGCAUGUUAUGGGGGAACGGCUGCUCUAUUUAACUGUGUCAAUUGGGUGGAGAGUAGCUCUUGGGAUGGGCGAUAUGGACUAGUUGUUUGCACAGACAGUGCGGUUUACGCAAAAGGGCCUGCUCGGCCUACUGGGGGCGCAGGUGCUAUUGCAAUGCUGAUUGGACCAAAUGCACCCAUUCCUUUCGAAAGUAAAUACAGGGGAACUCACAUGAUUCAUGUUUAUGACUUUUACAAGCCCAACCUUGCAAGUGAAUAUCCGGUUGUUGAUGGAAAACUAUCACAAACAUGCUAUCUCAUGGCACUCGAUUCAUGUUACAAACGUUUUUGUAGCAAGUAUGAAAAGUUUGAGGGAAAGCAAUUUUCAAUUUCUGAUGCAGACUAUUUUGUUUUCCAUUCUCCAUAUAACAAGCUUGUACAGAAAAGUUUUGCUCGGCUCUACUUUAAUGACUUCUUACGCAGUCCAAGUUCUGUUGAGAAGGGUGCAAGGGAAAAGCUGGAGCCUUUUUCAACCUUGACUGGUGAUGAAAGCUAUCAGAGUCGUGAGCUUGAAAAGACUUCUCAGCAAGUUGCAAAGCACUUAUAUGAUGAAAAGGUUCAACCGUCUACUUUGCUGCCAAAACAGAUUGGGAACAUGUACACAGCAUCUAUUUAUGCUGCAUUUGCAUCUCUUCUUCAUAACAAGCAUAGCACUCUGGGGAACCAACGGGUUGUGAUGUUCUCAUAUGGUAGUGGCCUUUCUUCUACAAUGUUCUCACUCAAACUUCAGGAGGGUCAACAUCCCUUCAGCCUAUCCAACAUUAAUGCUGUGCUGAAUGUUUCAGAGAAGCUGAAGGCAAGACAUGAGUUUACACCUGAGAAGUUUGUCGAAACUUUGAAGUUGAUGGAGCACCGAUAUGGAGCCAAGGAUUUUGUGACAAGCAAAGACACAAGCUUACUGUCCCCUGGAACAUUCUACCUCACAAAUGUUGAUUAUAUGUAUCGGAGGUAUUAUACCAAGAAGGGUGCCGAGGGCCUGUUAAAUAAUAGAUGAUGUUAUUACUGUCCCCGUUCUUUCUAAAUGCCAAGCCGACGAGCUUAGCGCGCUUAGCAUGCCUUAUUAGAAGCAGGUGAAUAGAAAGUCCUCAACAGUGCGAGGGAAAGCUACCAGACUCAGCCUGGUUGUCCAAUGGCCUCAUGCCCAAUGGGUGGCUAUUCAGGCUAUGAAUCCUGGUUCUCCAGUGAUGGCAAUGGGUGGUGGUUAGCAUUUUCCUCUUAGGAAUUCCCCCAACCAGCUCACAGGGGGAAUCCUGGCUCCAGGUUUUCUUGGGCUCUCCCUAUAGUAUAUGCUAGGAUUGAGGCUAAUUUUCGAUUAGUCUACCAAUACUAACACAAUUUCAAUAAUUUCUUUGUUGCGGAGCUUCCUAGAACUGUGACUGGAUGAUAGGUGAGGAAAAUUCCCCUGCACUUCAAUAAAAAAAACUAAUCAAUCAUCGACCAACUAUGGUAACAUUACAUUGAUUGAGUUUAAUUAAUCAUUUAUGUCUUAACGCUGGAAAGGGCCAUGGUGGGCCAUUUGUAACACAUAUGAGAGGCCAUAUGUGAGUAGUUUCUUGCUGGAAUUAACUACUCAAGUCAAAGCUAUCUGAACAAGAAACGUUAUCAAUGCAAGAAAAUGUCAGACAACCAGUGAAAGAAAGUUAUCGAGGUAAGAAACCAUCCAAAAGAAGAUAGUUAUUGCUGAAAAUAGCUGUCAAUCUGCAUCAUUAAUGUAAAAGAGGAUUCAUUUUGCUCUCAUCGCACUCCCAAAGUCUUAUGGGCAAUUGAUGUCAAAUCCAACAUGAACAAGACUUCUAUGCCUCUUCAAUGUAUUUUCUCUUGUCUUCUCUCUCUUUGGAGCGGAGGGUCAUC